CCUACGGGUGGCAGCAGUGGGGAAUAUUGGACAAUGGGCGAAAGCCUGAUCCAGCCAUGCCGCGUGUGUGAAGAAGGCCUUCGGGUUGUAAAGCACUUUCAGUGGGGAAGAAAGCCUUGGGGCUAAUACCCUCGAGGAAGGACAUCACCCACAGAAGAAGCACCGGCUAACUCCGUGCCAGCAGCCGCGGUAAUACGGAGGGUGCGAGCGUUAAUCGGAAUUACUGGGCGUAAAGCGCGCGUAGGCGGUCUGAUAAGCCGGUUGUGAAAGCCCCGGGCUCAACCUGGGAACGGCAUCCGGAACUGUCAGGCUAGAGUGCAGGAGAGGAAGGUAGAAUUCCCGGUGUAGCGGUGAAAUGCGUAGAGAUCGGGAGGAAUACCAGUUGCGAAGGCGGCCUUCUGGACUGACACUGACGCUGAGGUGCGAAAGCGUGGGUAGCAAACAGGAUUAGAUACCCCUGUAGUC
rnacentral:rRNA from 1 species